rnacentral:rRNA from 1 species
GAUGAACGCUGGCGGCGUGCCUAAUACAUGCAAGUCGAGCGAACGGACGAGAAGCUUGCUCCUCUGAUGUUAGCGGCGGACGGGUGAGUAACACGUGGAUAACCUACCUAUAAGACUGGGAUAACUUCGGGAAACCGGAGCUAAUACCGGAUAAUAUUUUGAACCGCAUUGUUCAAAAGUGAAAGACGGUCUUGCUGUCACUUAUAGAUGGAUCCGCGCUGCAUUAGCUAGUUGGUAAGGUAACGGCUUACCAAGGCAACGAUGCAUAGCCGACCUGAGAGGGUGAUCGGCCACACUGGAACUGAGACACGGUCCAGACUCCGACGGGAGGCAGCAGUAGGGAAUCUUCCGCAAUGGGCGAAAGACUGACGGAGCAACGCCGCGUGAGUGAUGAAGGUCUUCGGAUCGUAAAACUCUGUUAUUAGGGAAGAACAUAUGUGUAAGUAACUGUGCACAUCUUGACGGUACCUAAUCAGAAAGCCACGGCUAACUACGUG